AGAGUUUGAUCAUGGCUCAGGACGAACGCUGGCGGCGUGCUUAACACAUGCAAGUCGAACGGAAAGGCCCUUCGGGGUACUCGAGUGGCGAACGGGUGAGUAACACGUGGGUGAUCUGCCCUGCACUUUGGGAUAAGCCUGGGAAACUGGGUCUAAUACCGAAUAUGACCACGCGCUUCAUGGUGUGUGGUGGAAAGCUUUUGCGGUGUGGGAUGGGCCCGCGGCCUAUCAGCUUGUUGGUGGGGUAAUGGCCUACCAAGGCGACGACGGGUAGCCGGCCUGAGAGGGUGACCGGCCACACUGGGACUGAGAUACGGCCCAGACUCCUACGGGAGGCAGCAGUGGGGAAUAUUGCACAAUGGGCGCAAGCCUGAUGCAGCGACGCCGCGUGAGGGAUGACGGCCUUCGGGUUGUAAACCUCUUUCAAUAGGGACGAAGCGCAAGUGACGGUACCUAUAGAAGAAGGACCGGCCAACUACGUGCCAGCAGCCGCGGUAAUACGUAGGGUCCGAGCGUUGUCCGGAAUUACUGGGCGUAAAGAGCUCGUAGGUGGUUUGUCGCGUUGUUCGUGAAAACUCACAGCUUAACUGUGGGCGUGCGGGCGAUACGGGCAGACUAGAGUACUGCAGGGGAGACUGGAAUUCCUGGUGUAGCGGUGGAAUGCGCAGAUAUCAGGAGGAACACCGGUGGCGAAGGCGGGUCUCUGGGCAGUAACUGACGCUGAGGAGCGAAAGCGUGGGGAGCGAACAGGAUUAGAUACCCUGGUAGUCCACGCCGUAAACGGUGGGUACUAGGUGUGGGUUUCCUUCCUUGGGAUCCGUGCCGUAGCUACGCAUUAAGUACCCCGCCUGGGGAGUACGGCCGCAU
rnacentral:rRNA from 1 species